rnacentral:rRNA from 1 species
GACGAACGCUGGCGGCGUGCUUAACACAUGCAAGUCGAACGAUGAAGCUGGAGCUUGCUCCGGCGGAUUAGUGGCGAACGGGUGAGUAACACGUGAGAAAUCUGCCCUUGACUCUGGGAUAACUGCGGGAAACUGUAGCUAAUACCGGAUAUUUUCCUUGGUGGGCAUCCACUGGGGAAGAAAGAAUUUCGGUCAAGGAUGAUCUCGCGGCCUAUCAGCUAGUUGGUGAGGUAAUGGCUCACCAAGGCGACGACGGGUAGCCGGCCUGAGAGGGUGACCGGCCACACUGGGACUGAGACACGGCCCAGACUGCUACGGGAGGCAGCAGUGGGGAAUAUUGCACAAUGGGCGCAAGCCUGAUGCAGCAACGCCGCGUGAGGGAUGAAGGCCUUCGGGUUGUAAACCUCUUUUAGCAGGGAAGAAGCGAAAGUGACGGUACCUGCAGAAAAAGCACCGGCUAACCACGUGCCAGCCGCCGCCGUAA